UACAGUGUGGAAACAACAUCACUGAUAAUGUCAGACUUGGAGCUAGAGGAUAAAGAGAACAUCUCAGAGGUUUUUGCACCUCUUAACUUGUCAGUUACUGACUAGCAACUAAAGGAAACGCUUCUGCUUUGAAUCGCCUACGUCCUUGGCGCCACCUGCUGGUCGCAUCGCGCCAAUGCAGCUCUGAUCCGUGGAGAAUCUAAGCCUACCUUCUGAGCCAAACCUGAGGAAAAUCUGGAAUUUCCUACCACCUGGAAGACUAGAUCCAGCAUCAAAUCAUCAGGGAUGGCUCUGCUUACAGUGCGUAGACGGAGGAUCUGAGAACAGUUGAUGCUUGGGAAGAGGAAGUACACGAAGCACAGAGACACAGCACAGUGGCACAGAGAAGAGGAGGAGAGCUACGGAAGCUCUGAGAAGGGCAAGAACCAGCUGCCAGGCCUCACCUGCAUCCUCUUUUUCCAGCAUUGGCCCAUCCAGGCUCCCGGACAGAGCUCAGCCUGGCUUCUCACAAU
rnacentral:lncRNA from 1 species